AAAAAUAAAAAAUAAGCUUACCCAAACAUCCUCUAAUUUAAUAUACGUGGCAGCCUUGGCUUUUCAGCCCUCAUCAGAUUUGCAGUAGGAAAUGAAUAUUCAUCAUUCACAACUUCUCUCCAACAUACUGCUCGAAUCGCAAGAUUAUGGGUUAUGGCGCAUCUGAAAUUGACAGUGGAGGACUUGGAUGGUAGCUGAACCGAUCUGAAGUUGGAAAACGGAGCUCCGAGAAACUGUUUGGUUUCUCUUCGUGUUGUUCUGAACGUCAAGGCUCCUCAACUUUGCUGAUGGAUACAUUUAAUAUGUAUUCUACGUGUUUUGAUGACUGUUGCCACCACGUAGGUUCUUCACUUUGCAUUUGAGGAAGUUUUUGUGGUGAAGUGAAUCUCAGUGUGCUAUCUUUUUGCGAAUAAAAGAUGAACAAGAAUAUGCAUGACGCUUGAUACUUUAACAAGGUAUUUUGUCAGCCACGGUAUCGUAAAAUCGAAACAGUAAUAAAGAAUAAGAUGACUACCCCGAACAUCGUAACAAACUCUGUUAUUGCUUGUCCUUUUGUUGAUACCAACUUCUAUAAAAAUAUAUAAAUAUGUAAAUAACGAUAGUGAAAUCGUGAAUAUAAUGUAUAUAAACAAUAUGCAUGUUUAUAUAUAUUACCAACUCCUUACUAAUUGUUACCUUUGCUAA